rnacentral:rRNA from 1 species
CCUACGGGAGGCUGCAGUGGGGAAUAUUGGACAAUGGGGGCAACCCUGAUCCAGCCAUGCCGCGUGUGUGAAGAAGGCCCUCGGGUUGUAAAGCACUUUCAGUGAGGAAGAACGCCUGGUGGUUAAUACCCAUCAGGAAAGACAUCACUCACAGAAGAAGCACCGGCUAACUCCGUGCCAGCAGCCGCGGUAAUACGGAGGGUGCGAGCGUUAAUCGGAAUUACUGGGCGUAAAGCGCGCGUAGGUGGCUUGAUAAGCCGGUUGUGAAAGCCCCGGGCUCAACCUGGGAACGGCAUCCGGAACUGUCCAGCUAGAGUGCAGGAGAGGAAGGUAGAAUUCCCGGUGUAGCGGUGAAAUGCGUAGAGAUCGGGAGGAAUACCAGUGGCGAAGGCGGCCUUCUGGACUGACACUGACACUGAGGUGCGAAAGCGUGGGUAGCAAACAGGAUUAGAUACCCUUAUAGUC